GACGAACGCUGGCGGCGUGCUUAACACAUGCAAGUCGAACGGAAAGGCCCUGCUUUUGUGGGGUGCUCGAGUGGCGAACGGGUGAGUAACACGUGAGUAACCUGCCCUUGACUUUGGGAUAACUUCAGGAAACUGGGGCUAAUACCGGAUAGGAGCUCCUGCUGCAUGGUGGGGGUUGGAAAGUUUCGGCGGUUGGGGAUGGACUCGCGGCUUAUCAGCUUGUUGGUUGGGUAGUGGCUUACCAAGGCUUUGACGGGUAGCCGGCCUGAGAGGGUGACCGGCCACAUGGGGACUAAGAUAGGGCCCAGACUGCUACGGGAGGCAGCAGUGGGAAAUAUGGCACAAUGGGCGGGAGCCUGAGGAAGAAACGCCGCGUGCGGGAUGACGGCCUUCGGGUUGUAAAACGCUUUCGCCUGUGACGAAGCGUGAGUGACGGUAAUGGGUAAAGAAGCACCGGCUAACUACGUG
rnacentral:rRNA from 1 species